AGCAUGUGGUUCAAUUCGACGCAACGCGCAGAACCUUACCAGCCCUUGACAUGUGACUCGCCGGCUCCAGAGACGGAGCCUUCGGUUCGGCCGGAGUCAGCACAGGUGCUGCAUGGCUGUCGUCAGCUCGUGUCGUGAGAUGUUGGGUUAAGUCCCGCAACGAGCGCAACCCUCGUCUCCAGUUGCCAUCAGGUUAUGCUGGGCACUUUGGAGAAACUGCCGGUGACAAGCCGGAGGAAGGUGGGAUGACGUCAAGUCAUCAUGGCCCUUAUGUCCAGGGCGACACACGUGCUACAAUGGCCGGCACAGCGGGAAGCGAGGGGGCGACCUUGAGCGGAUCCCUCAAAGCCGGUCUCAGUUCGGAUUGCAGUCUGCAACUCGACUGCAUGAAGUUGGAAUCGCUAGUAAUCGUGGAUCAGCCAAGCCGCGGUGAAUACGUUCCCGGGCCUU
rnacentral:rRNA from 1 species